rfam:Eurypyga helias contig21082, whole genome shotgun sequence.
AUACUUACCUGGCAGGGGAGACACCAUGAUCAGGCAGGUGGUUUUCCCAGGGCGAGGCUCAUCCCUUGCACUCCGGGUGUGCUGACCCCUGCGAUUUCCCAGGUUGCCCAGAGAUGUUGUGGAUGCCCCAUCCCUGGAUGUCUUCA